CCUAUCCAGACCUGCUGCCUCCUCAAAGGAAGAGAGAGAGAAAAUACAUGAGUGGAAAACUAAAUGACAGGACAUCGUGACCGUCUGGCCAUUGUUCAACGCUGUGGCGGCGGGUCAUGGGUUCAGAUCCCCAUUCUGCAGACGAUGUGUUGUUUCGUGGUUCUGUGGCGCCGGAGUCACGUGCAGGACACUCGAAACCAAAUCAAAUGGAAUCAAAUGUUUUUGUCCUGUAAAUUCCUUGUGUCCAGCUAUCGCUGAGCUUUACAUUCAUUACCACCCAUUAGAGUGGAAGAACAGUGGGCUGAAAGGAGACAAUAAUUAGUAGCGGUAUUCAUCCCAUACAAACGAGGGCCCCAACGGAAACUAUUGACCGUCAUCCGACCAAUUAAAAUCCUUGGAAAACUUGGCAGGUAGAGACGCUCCAUGAAUCCCUGUCAACAACAACAACAACAAACCAAGACAAAAAUAAAUGUGUGUGACAUGA